rnacentral:rRNA from 1 species
ACAACUUUUGACAACGGAUCUCUUGGCUCUCGCAACGAUGAAGAACGCAGCGAAAUGCGAUACGUAAUGUGAAUUGCAAACCUUUGUGGAUCAUUAAAUCUUUGAACGCACAUUGCACUCGUAAAAGAGUAUACAUGUUUGAGAAUUAUAA